AGAUUGUUCUGGAGAAUAAUUAUAAUAUUAGUAGUUAACUGAGGACCAGAGCACUCUGGAUUAACAGAUAGAGCGAGAAUUAAAAUGCAUGAAAAAGAAAUUAGAAAAAUGGGAUGCUGGGGGUGUGUGAGCAGUAAAGGGGGGUGCAGAAAAUAAAACGAAAAAGAUGGGCCAAGAACAAGGUUGGACCUCAGAGAUCGAAUCUCGGCCGUUGAUUUGAUCAACGGCCUUGAUUUAAUCUGCCAAAUAAAAGGGGUAUAAAUACCCAUUCUUUCCUUUUUUUCUCAUUUUUUCCUUUCUCUUCUCUCUCUUCACUCUCUUAUUUCUUAUUUCUAGAGAGAGAAGGCUCUAGAAUUUCUUCAUCUUCUCCGACGAGGAGAGGCCACCGGAGGUGGUUCCGGCGCGGUGGCCGGUGAGCCACAACGGCUGCGCCGCCGCGCCGGAGAUGAAAGUAUGUCCUUUUUUUAUUUUUUUUCGUCCUCUCUCCUUCUUUUCUCUCCUUCUUUCCGAUUUUUAACUCAAAAAUGCUCAAAACCCAACGGUUUGACCUAGAUCUAAAAUGAAAGAAAUAUUACUUUUUGAGUCUGGAUGUUUGCGGAUUCAGUUUAAGAUGUUGUGUUUCUGUAACACGGUUUUGAAAUUCUGAUGUGUGGUUUUGAAUGUUUGUUGAUGGUUUUGGUUGGAUUGAGUUGGUGCUGAAAAUGGUGAUUCGGUUCUGAAAACGGCUUGGAUCGGAUCCGGGUUGAUGAAUGGCCUUGAUUCGGUUUUGUGAAAGAUUUGUUGUUUGCAGGUUUUGCGAUUUUAAAAUCUGUUUUUUUUUGUCUGUUGGGCCCUCUUUAUUUUUUGUCUGUGUGCAGGUGGUUAUAUUUAUAGAGCUGAAUUUCUGUUGCUUGGAGAGGAACACGAUAUUUUGUUGCUUGGAGAAGAAAUUGACAGUUGUGAAUGAGCUGUUUGUGAGCUGUUUAUUUGGAUAUUAUCGGACAAAAUUCUGAUUUAUUUUUGGACAUUAAAAAUAAAAUAAAAGGACUAAGAAUAAAUGAAACAAAAAUAAGAUAAAAGGUUAAAGAUGAAAUGAAUUUAAAGUUAAUAAAAGAUGGAAAUUAAAAUUAAAUGAAAAUUGAGAGAAGAGGGCCCGACUCGGAAUCAACUAUGAGGUAUUUUAAAAUACCUCCCUGCCGAAUUUUUUGCUCGAAAGGCUAACACCGGUCGGAGCCAAAUGACACGUGUCAGUGCUGUCUUAGGUCAAAAAUUGGGGUACGACAGAUGCCCCUAUUUAAGUUUCUUCGUCCGGAGAUUUGAAGAUGAAAUCUUUGAUUUGACGGGUCGAAGAGACUUAAAUAGUACACAAUUUUUGACCUAAGAUGUUAUGAAUGCAUGCGAUGCAAUUACGAAUGCAUGUGAGGCAAUCAUGAAUGCAGGACGACAUAGAUGGCUUGACAGGAAUGAGAAACAACAAUGGGAUACCCGAAUUCGCUGAAGAAAGGGAUCCGACUCCGCUAGGGGAAUGUAGUUUCACUGGGGAAAAUACUGUCAAUUAUUGUAUUGGUUUGAAAUUUGAAAUUGAAAAUUGACUAGCGACAUUAGUGGCACAACCACCGCUGGGGAUGAUAUUUUUCGAAUUUGAAAUUGAAAUUGAAAUUGAUUAGUGACAUGGCUAGCACGGCUUUAUGCCGGGUAUGACACUUUUGAAAUGAGUUCAAGUUGUCCUUUUGUCGGAAACUAGCCACUUGAAAUUGACAAAAAUAGAUUCAAGCUGUCCUUUUGUCGGAAAUUUGCCGCUUGAAAUUGGAUGAAAAUAGGUUCAAGCUGUCCUUUUGUAGGAACUUGCCGCUUGGAAUUGACUGAACAUAGAUUCAAACUGUCCUUUUGUCAGGAACUUGCCGCUUGAAAUUGAAUAAAAAUAGAUUCAAGCUGUCCUUUUGUCGGAAACUUGCCGCUUGAAAUUGACUGAAAAAUAGAUUCAAGCUGUCCUUUUGUCGGAAACUUGCCGCUUGAAAUUGAUUGAUUCGUGACAUCUCUUGACCAGACACACUGGGGAUGACACCUUUGAUGUAAAUGAUGAUUACAAGCUGUUCAUUUGUUAGAACUUGCCACUUGACAUAAUGAUGAAACGAGGACCGAACUGAGGGGAUAUUAUCAAACAAAACUUUGUGCGACUGAUGCAACCGUGUACGAAUGAUGCGAUGCAUAUGCUGUGUAAGAAUGUAUGAAAGUGCUGAUGCAUGGAUGUAUGGGUGUAUGAAUGUGUUAACGUACGAAAACAUGAAUGUAUUUAUUGUAUAUGAUAGAUGGACUCGAUGAGACAAGACAAGACUGGUAAGGUGGAAAGUGGACUGACAUCAUAGUACUAUAAACUCGGCAAACCUCCUUGGAGAUGACCUCAUUGGGGGCGAAGUAACAAACAUAUGCCUUAUGGGGACAAAACCCAUUAAAAGUCUGGAAAAAGUCGCCAUUUGUAAGCUGAUACAUAAUGUUCUUCCAUUGACACACUUCCGUCGUUGUGCCCUCUUUUUGAAUUUUCACAGUGUCCAAUCAUGGUUGUCUGGUGGGGUCUAACCAUUCUUUGAGGAACGUGCUGACGCAUGCUUCCUUCACUCUCAAGUCCUAAUAUGUACUUGUGCAUUUAAGCCUUUUUAAGAGACAUAGAAAAAAGUUUUUAAGAAUUCUACUUCGAAAUAUUAUCAUCAAACAAUGGAAAGAACUUUAAAAAUAGAAUAAAAGGGGAAUUUCAAACAGAAGGGCCAUGGGCUCAAAUAUUAUUGAUUGAAUGACAGCCUGCAGAUGGCAUGACUUCAUGGAUUUUUUUUGAAAAAAAGUGGUAAUUUUAAAAUGGGAAGGUACAUUGAACUUCAUAACCCCAUUCCCCCUUACAACUCUUGAAUUCUGCUGCUUUUGAUGCUUCAGAUUUGGAGAUUCUUUGAUAGCAGACAUGCCCCAAGUGGAUUGCGCCUGACUGGACGCAGUUACUUUGUCUUUUUCUUUUUAUCCUUAACUUUUGCAUAGAUCGCCCUUUCGGGUUUUCAGCCUACCAGGAUAAUGAUUUCUGUUUAAUGUCUCUAAUUUUUGCUUGAGCCGCCCUUUCGGGUUUUCAGCCCACUGAGACGCUCAUUUUUGCCUAAGCCGCCCUUUUCGGGUUUUCGACUUACCGAGCUGUUCUUAUAACUUUUAGACAAAGUAUUUCUUGACUGCAUCUGUGUUCACAGGACGUGGAAGUUCUUCACAUCCAUGGUUUGAAGAGUCAUGGCACCGCCUGAGUAAGCUUUCUUGACAACAUACGGGCCUUCAUAGUUAGGCGUCCACUUGCCUCUAGAGUCGGGUUGGAAAGUCAAGAUCUUUUUGAGCACAAGAUCACCUUCUUUGAAUUCACNNNNNNNNNNNNNNNNNNNNNNNNNNNNNNNNNNNNNNNNNNNNNNNNNNNNNNNNNNNNNNNNNNNNNNNNNNNNNNNNNNNNNNNNNNNNNNNNNNNNAGCUUGAACACUAUUGUCGCGCCAUUUUUCGGAGGUCAAAGGCCAUUUGAUUAGCGUUUGACUCAGUUUUUAUCUCACGACUGAACAAAUUUUUUUGAAGGGGAAAAUGUUCCAAACCAUCCAUUUUGAAAAGAUUUAGGGUUCGAGGGUUGGUUAUAUUUAGGGAAGGUGUUAGCACCCUAAAUAUUUGUAGUACUCUACGAGAACCUCUUGAUUUUUAUUCAACUUUUUGUGCUUAAAUUUGCUUGCUUUUGAAGAGAUGAAAAUAGAAUUGAAAAGAAAAUGAAAAUUGAUUUUAGUUGAAAAGAAAAAAAAAGAAAAUUGUUUUUGAGUUGAAAGUUGAAAAGAAAAAAAAGGAAAUUGUUUUUUAAUUGAUUUGGAAGGACAAGGUCCUCUGCCUACGUACCCGUGAGGGAUCAAAACCUCGUAGUUCGGGGUAGAAAUUGACGUUUGAUUUGUUUUGUGUUUUUUAUUAGUUUUUGAAAGAAAAAAAAAAGCCAAGUGGCAAAUGAGAAUUGAUUUGUGUUUUUUAGAUUGAAAGAAAUUGACUUGAAGUUGAAUUAGAAUUGAUUUGAAAUUUGAUUAAGAAAAAUAAAAUAAAAAGACGGUCACUUGAUUUAAGAUCAAGGUUUUUUUUGUGAAAAGUUUUUUUUGUGAUUUUUUGAUAUUUGAAUGUUUUUGUUGUUUUGAAAUAGUAAAUAAAAUUAAACUAACGAAGUUAUGAAAAUAAAAGCAGGGGACCAAAGCACUCUGGAGAAUGAUUAAAUUAAACAAAAAUAUAAUAUUAACAAAUAAUUUAGGACCAGAGCACUCUGGAUUAAAUUAAUUAACAAGGACCAGAUUAUUCUGGAGAAUAACAAAUUAUAAUAUUGACAGUUAAUUGAGGACCAGAGCACUCUGGAUUAAUUUAAUUAACAGGGACCAGAUUGUUCUGGAGAAUAAUUGAAUUAAACAAAAUAUAAUAUUAACAGUUAAUAUAGGACCAGAGCACUCUGGAUUAAUUUAAUUAACAAGGACCAGAUUGUUCUGGAGAAUAAUUAAAUUAAACAAAAAUAUAAUAUUAAUAGUUAAUAUAGGACCAGAGUACUCUAGAUUAACAGAUAGAGAGAGAAUUAAAAUGCAUGAAAAAGAAAUUAGAAAAAUGAGAUGCUGGGGUGUGUGUGAGCAGUAAAGGAGGGUGCAGAAAAUAAAAUGAAGAGGAUUUGGGCCUUGGGUGAGGCCGGGCGCGUGUGGGCCUGGAAUAGACCGGUUCAGACCGGUUCAGGGGUUGAACCGGUCCAAUCCCUUUUAUAAAUACACAGCUCCGGUUUUUUUAAUCAUUUUUAUUUCAAACUUCUCUCUCUCUUCUCUUAUUUCUAGAGAGAGAGGCUCUGCCUUCUCUCUAGAAUUCUUCUCCGUCGCCACCUUCUUCUCCGGUGGCUGGCGCGGUGGCCGG
rnacentral:lncRNA from 1 species